rnacentral:tRNA from 1 species
GCCUUCGUGGUGUAACGGUAGCUUGCUCGUCUCGUAAUCGAAACGUUCAGGUUCGGGUCCCGACGAGGGUA